GUGGAUUAGAUACCCUGGUAGUCCACGCUGUAAACGAUGAGCACUAGGUGUAGCGGGUAUUGACCCCUGCUGUGCCGCAGCUAACGCAUUAAGUGCUCCGCCUGGGGAUUACGGUCGCAAGACUAAAACUCAAAGGAAUUGACGGGGGCCCGCACAAGCGGUGGAGCAUGUGGUUUAAUUCGACGCAACGCGAAGAACCUUACCUGGGUUUGACAUCCCCGGCCCGCCUUGGAAACAGGGUUUUCCCCUUCGGGGGACCGGGAGACAGGUGCUGCAUGGCCGUAGCCAGCU
rnacentral:rRNA from 1 species